AGAACGUAAGGCAAGCAUCAGGCCAGACGCUGUGAGUUUAUCCUGAGAUCCCAGCCGCACGCUGACAGGGGUGAGUGUUUAUGUAAAACCCAUUCAAACUCUAGCUCCUGAUUUUUUCCAGGCGAUAAGGAGGGCUGGUUUUAUUUAGGGAGACACCAAGGUGAUGUGGAAGAGCUGUGGGUGGGAAGGGAGAGCUUAGCCAAUGGAAAUAAAGUCCUCCCCCCUACACACGCCACUAGAGACAAGAUUAAAAGCGAGAGCGAGGGAGAAAAAUGCUUAAAACAAGUCGCUGAGCAGCUUGGAGCCUGUUAACCAGCGCAAAAUGCCCCAUGUUCACCAUCCUGGGGGAUGUCAGGGCGGCCACGCUGAUGCACUGCGGUCGGGCACAGCGGCGCAGCCUUCACAGCCGCCGCCGCUCGCUUCCUUUCCCCAUGAUGUUUUGGACUCCGGUUGCCGUUUCUCGCUGCCGGCCUCCGUCCCUCCUCUCCUCCUCCUCCUCCAGGCCCCCUUUUGUGGGCAGAAUUCCAAAUGCCAGCGGCCGCGGCUAGCACUGGGGAGAGGAGGCAGCGCGCGGCGAGGAGAAGCGAGGACCGUCCUCUCCUGCUAGCAGGUGAGUGUGGCUUGCCCUCUUGCCCCAUGCCAGAGCUCAAAUGGCUAGAACCUACUGAAUUGAUGGUGCAAAUCCCUAUCAGGAGGAAGGGAGCAGAAAGUCUGAUUGGCCAUCCCAAGCCACACUGCCAAGCUGGGGCAGAGCCACAUGGAGUCACCUUUAUGAGGCAAACUCUCAUCUUCAGGCCUUUCCAGGCUUAAAUCAUAUUCCUUGUAUGAGGUUGGAGAAGGCAGCUGAGGGCACGUCCCUCUAGGUUUAGCUCUACUCGGAAAUAUGUUCUUAUCCCAUCUGGACCCCUGCUAAACCAGAUCCCCUGAUAGUAACAUCCAGGUACACUCUGAAGCAACCUGUAGCAUUAAAUUGGUAAUUUAUUGACCCUGGGAGCUCAGAUAGCAGAAUCCUCACAAUCAAGCACAAAUGGCAAAGGCUGGUAAACCUCACAGAUGUGUUAACUCAGAGGUCCUGGAUUCCUGGGAUACAAUACAGGUUUUUGAAGUGGAAGGACCAAAAUUAACAAAGGACUACCAUGUGUCAGGACCUAUGUGAGGGUGUCAUAUCACCUUACUUAUCCCUCUUAACUAUC
rnacentral:lncRNA from 1 species